AUACUUACCUGGCAAGGGAGAUACAAUGAUUACCAUCGUGUCUUUCCCAGGGUGAGGCUCAUUCACUGACUGCAUGCUGGAUGUGCCAAUCCCUGUGAUUCUCCAUGUGUGGGCAGCUCGACUGCAUCAUUUCUGAUAGGUAGGGGACUGUGUUCCCAUG
ensembl:snRNA Gm25926 predicted gene, 25926